UACGUAGGGCGCAAGCGUUGUCCGGAAUUAUUGGGCGUAAAGCGCUCGCAGGCGGCUCGAUGCGUCGUGCGUGAAACACCCCGGCUCAACUGGGGAGGGUCGUGCGAUACGGUCGGGCUGGAGGCCAGUAGGGGGAUGCGGAAUUCCGGGUGUAGUGGUGGAAUGCGUAGAGAUCCGGAGGAACACCAGCGGCGAAGGCGGCAUCCUGGACUGGUCCUGACGCUCAGGAGCGAAAGCGUGGGGAGCAAACAGG
rnacentral:rRNA from 1 species